AUACGAAAGGGGCUAGCGUUGUUCGGAAUUACUGGGCGUAAAGCGCAUGUAGGCGGUUUGCUAAGUUAGGGGUGAAAUCCCGGAGCUCAACUCCGGAACUGCCUCUAAAACUGGUAGACUAGAGGAUGUGAGAGGAUAGUGGAAUUCCGAGUGUAGAGGUGAAAUUCGUAGAUAUUCGGAAGAACACCAGUGGCGAAGGCGACUGUCUGGCACAUUUCUGACGCUGAGAUGCGAAAGCGUGGGGAGCAAACAGGAUUAGAUACCCUAGUAGUCCC
rnacentral:rRNA from 1 species